ensembl:lncRNA
CGACAGCUCAUGGCUGCAGCAAUUAGGAUCACUUUGCAAGGGACUGUUGCUUCUCUCAUGACUGGACAAAGGUGAAGUAAUUAAUGUAACGUGUGGGAAAGAUCAUCGACUGACGUUCUAUCAAAAGGAGAUUGAAAGGCUUUGGACAGCCCUCGGUUAUGAAGACAGAAGAACAUGGUUUCAGAGGGAGGAGAUGCAAGUGAGUCAACUUCAGGCAAACCCAAGCAGGCAAGAAAGCUCUAAUGGAUUCUUCUAAGCCGGAUGACAGAAGAUUAAUGAGAGCGCUGAGGCGGAAGAGAGGAGGCUGACACCAACAUCCCGCUAAUAGUCCUUUUUUUACCAAAACCCUUGCUCUGAAAACCUGAAAAGAACAGAUUUAAAUCAGUAGGGAGUCAUCCUG